AGAGUGUUGAUCCUGGCUCAGAACGAACGCUGGCGGCAGGCUUAACACAUGCAAGUCGAGCGCCCCGCAAGGGGAGCGGCAGACGGGUGAGUAACGCGUGGGAAUCUACCCAUCUCUACGGAACAACUCCGGGAAACUGGAGCUAAUACCGUAUACGGUCCUUCGGGAGAAAGAUUUAUCGGAGAUGGAUGAGCCCGCGUUGGAAUUAGCUAGUUGGUGAGGUAAUGGCUCACCAAGGCUCCGAUCCUUAGCUGUUCUGAGAGGAAGAUCAGCCACACUGGGACUGAGACACGGCCCAGACUCCUACGGGAGGCAGCAGUUGGGAAUCUUGGACAAUGGGGGAAACCCUGAUCCAGCCAUGCCGCGUGAGUGAUGAAGGCCUUCGGGUUGUAAAACUCUUUCGACGGGGACGAUAAUGACGGUACCCGUAGAAGAAG
rnacentral:rRNA from 1 species